rnacentral:rRNA from 1 species
GGGUGGGGGACAACANCGGGAAACUGCUGCUAAUACCGCAUGAUACCUGAGGGUCAAAGGCGCAAGUCGCCUUAGGAGGAGCCUGCGUCUGAUUAGCUUGUUGGUGGGGUAAAGGCCUACCAAGGCGACGAUCAGUAGCUGGUCUGAGAGGAUGAUCAGCCACAUUGGGACUGAGACACGGCCCAAACUCCUACGGGAGGCAGCAGUGGGGAAUAUUGGACAAUGGGCGAAAGCCUGAUCCAGCAAUGCCGCGUGUGUGAAGAAGGUCUUCGGAUUGUAAAGCACUUUUGGCAGGGACGAUGAUGACGGUACCUGCAGAAUAAGCUCCGGCUAACUUCGUG